ACUGAGCUGAAUUGAACCGUGAAAUGAAUUGUCUUGAGCAGCGUCAACAACAGAAAUGUUCUGGGGCACAUGGCUAGGAUGUCUGAAGCUCAUUCUUCAGCUGGGAAACAAGAUGUUGAAGAACACACGUCUUGAAGUAGGAUAUCGAUUGGCUGCAUUCUUCCCAUCUUCUCACUCUUCAUUCAUCUACCCAACAAAGGAAUCUCAAUGCAGGUUUGAGAUCAAAGGAAGUGAUAUGAUUAAGUCAACACUUUAGAUAUCGUCUCAUGUUGCAAGGAGAAAAAAUGGCUUAGAAAUAUUCUUUAAGACUUCUAAAGGAACCACAGAUGAGUUAAGAAUACUGUAUCCAAUAUGAAAAUGACAAAGUCAAGCUGAAAGGGUGAGUUAGUAUGAAUAAAUGCUCAUUGUUGAAAAGAGGAGACAAUAUAUAAUGCCUAAAAUUGUUAAUCCAGAAAAUAGAGCUGUAAUUAUUUUAUUCAGCAUUAAAGAGAUAACUACAAGAAUAGUGGAGAAUAAAAAUGGUAGAAGUGGGUUGCUUCUGGGA